GGUGCCACAGUGGGUUAGGGUAUCUGGAUGUUAACCAGAUGGUUGAUGGUUCGAACCCACCCAGAGAUG